AGCGUUCGCAUAACGCUCGAGGCGAACUCUGCGGCCGCUUCCCAUGCCCUUGGCUCGGUCAGCAUAAUCGGCACCAAGGUCUCGGGGGAGAUCCUGGCGCCUACUACUGCCUCCAUGCGGUGACGCUCGUGGUCAAACCGGUGGCAUUCGAAGAGGACGUGCUGUGCGUCCUCCACUAUACCGGUGCCACACUCUGGGCACCAGUCCUCCGUCUCGUGGCCAAAGCGCUUGAGGUAGCUGCGAAAGCAGCUAUGACCACUCAGUGCUUGGGUAAGGUAAAAGUCUACCUGGCCGUGCUUCCUCUCGAUCCAGGCUUGCAGCUUCGGUAAGAGGGAAUAAGUCCAGCGCCCUUUAUGUGAACUGUCCCACUGGGUCUGCCAUUUGCUGAUGCUGUUCCUCCUUGCGGUGGCAUUCAGCUCGGAUCUUGUCGCCUCGCUUCCGCCCUGCGCAGCUCUACGCAACUCUGCUCUCUCCCUUAUUAGCUCCCUGAGUGGGACUUGCCCC
rnacentral:lncRNA from 1 species